GUUCUUGCUUCGGCAGAACAUAUACUAAAAUUGGAACGAUACAGAGAAGAUUAGCAUGGCCCCUGUGCAAGAAAAAAUUUUUUGUUAAAUUGUGCGUAAAUGUUUAU